rnacentral:rRNA from 1 species
CCCUUAGAUGUUCUGGGCCGCACGCGUGCUACACUGAGUGGAUCAGCGGGUCAGGUUGCGCGAAAGUGUUUCCUAAUCUUUAAAUCCGCUCGUGAUGGGGAUUGACGGUUGCAAUUUUCCGUCAUGAACGAGGAAUGCCUUGUAAGCGCGGGUCAUCAUCCCGCGCUGAAUACGUCCCUGCCCUUUGUACACACCGCCCGUCGCUCCUACCGAUUGAGCGGUCCGGUGAGGCUUUGGGAUCUGAGCGGAAAGAGCGUUUCGCUGUUUCUGCUCGGAAAACUCAGUCGAACCUUAUCAUUUAGAGGAAGGAGAAGUCGUAACA